rnacentral:misc_RNA from 1 species
GAUGAAGAACGCAGCGAAAUGCGAUAAGAAUGUGAAUUGCAGAAUUCAGUGAAUCAUCGAAUCUUUGAACGCACAUUGCGCCCGCCAGUAUUCUGGCGGGCAUGCCUGUCCGAGCGUCAUUUCAACCAUCAAGCCCCCGGGCUUGUGUUGGGGACCUGCGGCUGCCCGCAGGCCCUGAAAACCAGUGGCGGGCUCGCUGUCACACCGAGCGUAGUAGCAAUCACCUCGCUCAGGGCGUGCUGCGGGUUCCGGCCGUUAAACAGCCUUACAAAACCCAAGGUUGACCUCGGAUCAGGUAGGAAGACCCGCUGAACUUAAGCAUAUCAAUAAGCGGAGGA